AGAGUUUGAUCAUGGCUCAGAACGAACGCUGGCGGCGUGCUUAACACAUGCAAGUCUGACGGGAAAGUCCUCUUCGGAGGGCGAGUACAGUGGCGAACGGGUGAGUAACACGUGGGUAAUCUGCCCUCAGGAUCGGGAUAACCUUGCGAAAGCGGGGCUAAUACCGGAUAAGACCACGCUGUCCUCGGACAGCGCGGUAAAAGGUGGCCUCUCCAUGGAAGCUAUCACCAGAGGAUGAGCCCGCGGCCUAUUAGCUAGUUGGUGAGGUAACGGCUCACCAAGGCGACGAUGGGUAGCCGGCCUGAGAGGGUGUACGGCCACACUGGCACUGAGACACGGGCCAGACUCCUACGGGAGGCAGCAGUGAGGAAUUUUGCGCAAUGGGGGAAACCCUGACGCAGCAACGCCGCGUGAGUGAUGAAGGCCUUCGGGUUGUAAAGCUCUUUAAGUGGGGAAGAAACACUCCGGGACUAAUAAUCCCGGGGCUUGACGGUACCCACAGAAAAAGUUCCGGCUAACUACGUGCCAGCAGCCGCGGUAAAACGUAGGGAGCAAGCGUUGUUCGGAAUUAUUGGGCGUAAAGAGCGCGUAGGCGGCGUGGCAAGUCUGAUGUGAAAGCCCACAGCUCAACUGUGGAAUUGCAUCGGAUACUGCCAUGCUAGAGUUCGGGAGAGGAGAGUGGAAUUCCCAGUGUAGAGGUGAAAUUCGUAGAUAUUGGGAGGAACACCGGUGGCGAAGGC
rnacentral:rRNA from 1 species